rnacentral:rRNA from 1 species
UACAGAGGGAGCUAGCGUUGUUCGGAAUUACUGGGCGUAAAGCGCGCGUAGGCGGCUUUGUAAGUUAGAGGUGAAAGCCCGGGGCUCAACUCCGGAACUGCCUUUAAGACUGCAUCGCUUGAAUCCGGGAGAGGUGAGUGGAAUUCCGAGUGUAGAGGUGAAAUUCGUAGAUAUUCGGAAGAACACCAGUGGCGAAGGCGGCUCACUGGACCGGUAUUGACGCUGGAGGUGCGAAAGCGUGGGGAGCAAACAGG